rnacentral:rRNA from 1 species
CAUGGAUGCAUAUUUGUGAAUUUACACAGCAAACAAUAAUCAUACAAUCAAAACAAAAAUAAUCAAAACUUUUAACAAUGGAUCUCUUGGUUCUCGUAUCGAUGAAAAACGCAGCGAAACGCGAUAUUUCUUGUGAAUUGCAAAAGUGAAUCAUCAGUUUUUGAACGCACUUUGCACUUUGGGGUAUCCCCCAAAGUAUACUUGUUUGAGCGUUGUUUCUCUCUUGGAAUUGCAUUGCUUUUCUAAAAUUUCGAAUCAAAUUCGUUUGAAAAACAACACUAUUCAACCUCAAAUCAAGUAGGAUUACCCGCUGAACUUAAGCAUAUCAAUAA